CUGCUGGAUUGGUCAUCUGGGCAGCAUCCGGUGGCUCUGCCUGUGCCCUGGGCUCUGUGGCUUCUGGCUUGGCUCUGUCUUCCCUGCCAACCUUUUGUCUUCUCUCCUUUUGGGUCUGGGGAUUGGAGGAGGCUUUGCCAAAGAAGGAGAUGGAAGGCCUUCCAGGAAGUCGCACAGGCGAGAGCCCAGGUGAAGAGAUACGAAAGCAAGUGACAAGUUCGGGAAAUGGGGAUUGAAUUCAGGUCCUUGUACUUGUGCAGCAGGUGGCAAAACCACUGAGCUAAAUCCCCGGCGCUCUACCUCCUAAUCUUGAAGUCAUGUCUUCAAUGUGAUUUUUAUAUCUUGUUUUUUCACCAUAUAUUUUGCAUGACAUUGGAAAUUCUUUUAAUGGUGGCC
rnacentral:lncRNA from 1 species